AUUGAACGCUGGCGGCAUGCUCUACACAUGCAAGUCGAACGGUAACAGGUUAAGCUGACGAGUGGCGAACGGGUGAGUAAUGCAUCGGAACGUGCCCGGUCGUGGGGGAUAACGCAGCGAAAGCUGCGCUAAUACCGCAUACGAUCUGAGGAUGAAAGCGGGGGACCGUAAGGCCUCGCGCGAUCGGAGCGGUCGAUGUCAGAUAAGGUAGUUGGUGGGGUAAAGGCUCACCAAGCCAACGAGCUGUAGCUGGUCUGAGAGGACGACCAGCCACACUGGGACUGAGACACGGCCCAGACUCCUACGGGAGGCAGCAGUGGGGAAUUUUGGACAAUGGGCGAAAGCCUGAUCCAGCAAGGCCGCGUGCAGGAAGAAGGCCUUCGGGCUGUAAACUGCUUUUGUACGGAGCGAAAAGGUCUCCUCUAAUACAGGGGGCUCAUGACGGUACCGUAAGAAUAAGCACCGGCUAACUACGUGCCAGCCGCCGCCGUAA
rnacentral:rRNA from 1 species